UCUUUAACAAGGUGAAACAAUUUGUAGUAAUACACUGCAAGGCGAGGUUGAGUACUAACAAUACUCAACAUCAAUAUUGUGUGUCUCUCAAGCACACAAUCCGGCGUCCAGGGAAACCUGGAUGUAAGAAGUCGUUAGUAGUCGUUUGUGUUGUAUGGUCAAGCGACUAAGCGUAUACGGUGGAUGCCUUGGCAGCUGGAGGCGAUGAAGGACGUAGGAGCCUGCGAAAAGUCUAGGGGAGCUGGCACACAAGCUUUGAUCCUGGAAUGUCCGAAUGGGGAAACCCACCUGUUUACAGGUAUCGCAUACUGAAUACAUAGGUAUGCGAGGCGAACCCGGGGAACUGAAACAUCUAAGUACCCGGAGGAAAAGAAAUCAACCGAGAUUCCCUGAGUAGCGGCGAGCGAAAGGGGAUUAGCCCUUAAGCUAAUUAUGUCUUAGUGGAAGGAUCUGGAAAGUUCCGCGAUACAGGGUGAUAGCCCCGUACACGAAAAGGCAUUUUUAGUGAAAUCGAGUAGGUCGGGACACGUGUUAUCUUGACUGAAUAUGGGGGGACCAUCCUCCAAGGCUAAAUACUCCCAGCUGACCGAUAGUGAACCAGUACCGUGAGGGAAAGGCGAAAAGAACCCCGGAGAGGGGAGUGAAAUAGAACCUGAAACCGUAUACGUACAAGCAGUAGGAGCCCUUCGGGGUGACUGCGUACCUUUUGUAUAAUGGGUCAGCGACUUAUUGUCUGUAGCAAGGUUAACCGCUUAGGGGAGCCGUAGAGAAAUCGAGUCUUAAUAGGGCGUUUAGUUGCAGGCAAUAGACCCGAAACCCGGCGAUCUAUCCAUGGGCAGGUUGAAGGUUGAGUAACAUCAACUGGAGGACCGAACUCACUAAUGUUGAAAAAUUAGGAGAUGACCUGUGGAUCGGAGUGAAAGGCUAAUCAAGCCGGGAGAUAGCUGGUUCUCCUCGAAAGCUAUUUAGGUAGCGCCUCGCGUCUCACCCUCGGGGGUAGAGCACUGUUUGGGCUAGGGGGUCAUCCCGACUUACCAACCCCAUGCAAACUCCGAAUACCGAGGAGUGCAAUCGCGGGAGACACACGGCGGGUGCUAACGUCCGUCGUGGAAAGGGAAACAACCCAGACCGCCAGCUAAGGUCCCAAAUACCAGUUAAGUGGGAAACGAUGUGGGAAGGCCCAGACAGCUAGGAGGUUGGCUUAGAAGCAGCCAUCCUUUAAAGAAAGCGUAAUAGCUCACUAGUCGAGUCGGCCUGCGCGGAAGAUAUACCGGGGCUAAACUGGUAACCGAAGCUGCGGAUGCCUUCGGGCAUGGUAGAGGAGCGUUCUGUAAGCCGUUGAAGGUGAACCGGGAGGUUUGCUGGAGGUAUCAGAAGUGCGAAUGCUGACAUGAGUAACGAUAAGGGGGGUGAAAAACCUCCCCGCCGGAAGACCAAGGGUUCCUGUCCAACGCUAAUCGGGACAGGGUUAGUCGGCCCCUAAGGCGAGGGCGAAAGCCGUAGUCGAUGGGAAACAGGUUAACAUUCCUGUACUUGCAAUUGCUGCGAUGGAGUGACGGAGAAGGCUAGGCCAGCAUGGCGAUUGGUUGUCCAUGUUUAAGGUUGUAGGCUGGGGACUUAGGCAAAUCCGGGUCCCUAAGGCUGAGAGCUGAUGACGAGCCCUUUUUUGGGCGAAGUGGUUGAUGCCCUGCUUCCAGGAAAAACUUCUAAGCUUCAGGCAAUUGCGAACCGUACUCGAAACCGACACAGGUGGUCAGGUAGAGAAUACCAAGGCGCUUGAGAGAACUCUGGUGAAGGAACUAGGCAAAAUGGUACCGUAACUUCGGGAGAAGGUACGCCGGUUUUGGUGAUGGGACUUGCUCCCUAAGCUGAGGCCGGUCGAAGUGACCAGGUGGCUGCGACUGUUUAUUAAAAACAUAGCACUCUGCAAACACGUAAGUGGACGUAUAGGGUGUGACGCCUGCCCGGUGCCGGAAGGUUAAUUGAUGGGGUUAGCUUCGGCGAAGCUCUUGAUCGAAGCCCCGGUAAACGGCGGCCGUAACUAUAACGGUCCUAAGGUAGCGAAAUUCCUUGUCGGGUAAGUUCCGACCUGCACGAAUGGCGUAACGAUGGCCACGCUGUCUCCACCAGAGACUCAGUGAAAUUGAAAUCGCUGUUAAGAUGCAGUGUACCCGCGGCUAGACGGAAAGACCCCGUGAACCUUUACUACAGCUUUGCACUGAACUUUGAGCCUACUUGUGUAGGAUAGGUGGGAGGCUUUGAAGCAGGAACGCUAGUUCCUGUGGAGCCGUCCUUGAAAUACCACCCUGGUAUGUUUGAGGUUCUAACCCAGGUCCGUAAUCCGGAUCGGGGACAGUGUAUGGUGGGUAGUUUGACUGGGGCGGUCUCCUCCCAAAGAGUAACGGAGGAGUACGAAGGUGCACUCAGCAUGGUCGGAAAUCAUGCAAUGAGCAUAAUGGUAUAAGUGCGCUUGACUGCGAGACAGACAUGUCGAGCAGGUACGAAAGUAGGUCAUAGUGAUCCGGUGGUUCUGUAUGGAAGGGCCAUCGCUCAACGGAUAAAAGGUACUCCGGGGAUAACAGGCUGAUACCGCCCAAGAGUUCACAUCGACGGCGGUGUUUGGCACCUCGAUGUCGGCUCAUCACAUCCUGGGGCUGAAGCCGGUCCCAAGGGUAUGGCUGUUCGCCAUUUAAAGUGGUACGCGAGCUGGGUUUAGAACGUCGUGAGACAGUUCGGUCCCUAUCUGCCGUGGGCGUUGGAGAUUUGAGAAGAGUUGCUCCUAGUACGAGAGGACCGGAGUGAACGAACCUCUGGUGUUCGGGUUGUCACGCCAGUGGCAUUGCCCGGUAGCUAUGUUCGGACGGGAUAACCGCUGAAAGCAUCUAAGCGGGAAGCCUCCUUCAAGAUGAGAUCUCCCUGGGACUUCGAGUCCCCUGAAGGGCCGUGGAAGACUACCACGUUGAUAGGCUGGGUGUGGAAGCGUUGUGAGGCGUUGAGCUAACCAGUACUAAUUGCCCGUGCGGCUUGACCAU
rnacentral:rRNA from 1 species